CCAAUUCAGCAUCUGGCUCGUGAGUUCAUGGUGAAGACAAGGCGUAGAAAGGGAAUGAGUGAAGACGCGAGCAUCAACAAAUUCUUUGAUGAGGCUAUGAUGGUGGAGCUUGCGCAGCAGGAUGCUGAUCUUCACCUGCAGAUGAUGUAGAUAUCACAUAGUUGAGGUGGUUUUGUAUGUCAUGUAGCCGACAGCCUCUUGAAAGAUGAUGUAGCCGACAGCCGACAGCCGACAGCCGACAGCCGACAGCCUCUUGAAAUAUGUAAUAGUCUAGUACAAAUUUGGCAUACCAGGAUCAUGAAUAGUUCCUGCAUAACUCUCCCUUUGAGCUCAUCUAUUUGUUGGGAUAAUCCCUUGCUCUAACAUUCGAGUAUUUGUGGUGGUUUCCUCUCCGUCAAAGGGUAGGUUCUCGCACGACUGGCAUUAAGUAUGAGAUUUCUGUAAGCUCAGGCGUAUUGAAUUGCUGGGCACUUGUUCAAGUUCUUACUUUAUCCUCUUUUAGCACGUUCUUUGGAUUCUAUGUAGCCUAAAGGUUGAACUCAUUUUAGCUUUGCCAGAAGUUCCUUUUUCAUUUUCGGUGAGUUUUGUAACAUUUGAUCCCAGUUUUACAGGAUGAGAGUCUCGUAUUUGGUUAAAUAUGUAACCACUAUGUAAGCUAAAGAUUGAAGAUUACAUGAAAAUUCACUGCUAGCUAACUUGUUUACUA